UACAGAGGUCCCAAGCGUUGUUCGGAUUCACUGGGCGUAAAGGGUGCGUAGGCGGUCGGGUAAGUCUGAUGUGAAAUCUCACAGCUUAACUGUGAAACUGCAUUGGAUACUAUCCGGCUCGAGGAAUGGAGGGGAGACUGGAAUACUUGGGGUAGCAGUGAAAUGCGUAGAUAUCAAGUGGAACACCAGUGGCGAAGGCGAGUCUCUGGACAUUUCCUGACGCUGAGGCACGAAAGCCAGGGGAGCAAACGGG
rnacentral:rRNA from 1 species